rnacentral:rRNA from 1 species
GCAGUCGAGCGGUAGCACAGAGAGCCUGCUCUUGGGUGACGAGCGGCGGACGGGUGAGUAAUGUCUGGGAAACUGCCUGAUGGAGGGGGAUAACUACUGGAAACGGUAGCUAAUACCGCAUAACGUCGCAAGACCAAAGAGGGGGACCUUCGGGCCUCUUGCCAUCAGAUGUGCCCAGAUGGGAUUAGCUAGUAGGUGGGGUAACGGCUCACCUAGGCGACGAUCCCUAGCUGGUCUGAGAGGAUGACCAGCCACACUGGAACUGAGACACGGUCCAGACUCCUACGGGAGGCAGCAGUGGGGAAUAUUGCACAAUGGGCGCAAGCCUGAUGCAGCCAUGCCGCGUGUAUGAAGAAGGCCUUCGGGUUGUAAAGUACUUUCAGCGGGGAGGAAGGCGAUAAGGUUAAUAACCUUGUCGAUUGACGUUACCCGCAGAAGAAGCACCGGCUAACUCCGUGCCAGCAGCCGCGGUAAUACGGAGGGUGCAAGCGUUAAUCGGAAUUACUGGGCGUAAAGCGCACGCAGGCGGUCUGUCAAGUCGGAUGUGAAAUCCCCGGGCUCAACCUGGGAACUGCAUUCGAAACUGGCAGGCUAGAGUCUUGUAGAGGGGGGUAGAAUUCCAGGUGUAGCGGUGAAAUGCGUAGAGUCUGGAGGAAUACGGUGGCGAAGCGGCCCCUGGACAAAAUGACCUCAGUGCGAAGCGUG